rnacentral:tRNA from 1 species
UAUUUGUUUAAUAUAAAAAGUAUAAUUAAUUUCCAAUUAAAAAGUCUAAUAAUAGAACAAAU